GCUCAUUGCUAAGCUGUUCUCCAUUAGCAAUGGAUAUCAAACAUUUCUUCUUUUUUGUUUCAUGAAGGAGUUCUUGAAUUCCCGCCAGGUGGACCGCUGCGCCACUAUCAACGAUGAAGUCUUCCGAGGACCAAGCGGAGUAGGCCGCAGCAUACAGAGUGUGAUCUUCCUUAUUUGCCUUCGCUUCCUCGCGCUUCCUUUUAAAACAUCUGCGGGCGACAUGUCCAUUACGCCUGCAGUACGAGCAGAAAAGCUUGGUGUUCUUCUUCUUAAUCAUAUAUAUAUGCUGUCGAUGUGUCAUUGUUGUUCUGAAUGUGGCUUUUUCGAUGAUCUUCUUGUAACAGACGAGUACGGACGAUCUCACUAGUAAGUGUGUUUGUUAAUCCAGCAGUUGCCAAACCAGAUAGUAGAACAUUGUAUUCAUCGGGCAAUCCGGAGAGUAAUAUUUCGGCUACUUCGCCGUCUUCAAUAGUCUUCCCUAUAUCAGAAAGUUGGGCGACGAGCUUCAUCACACCUUCUAUUAUACUCAGACAUGCAGGAGAAAUUGUGGUACUCGACUCUAUGUAAUUGUCUUAGUAGGAGUACUUUCCUGUAAAGUCCUUUGUCUUCAAAGGCGUCAGCGAGCUUCUUGCAGGCGUCCUUAGAAGUGGUACAGUCUCUUACUAACUGAUAUAAGCUGGGUUGAACUGAGAGGCAGAUGCUCGCUCGCUCGCUCUCGCGUCCUUGCCGCCGCCCGUAUCCGUACCAUCGACGCAGCCACACAAGUUUUCCAACGUUAGCAUCAUCUUUACAGCAAAUUUCCAGGAUAAAUAAUUAUCGAGGCCAUUCAGCUUUUCAAUUGAAGUAGUAUGAGUAGCAAAAUGAUUUGACUGUGAUUCCGCCAUUUUGAGGAUGUUUGAGGUUAUGUCACCGCGUGAUCGUACAAGUCGACAACUCAAGUUUUAUUCUACAGGAAUACACACAGGUCCUGUUAUUCUAAUUUCUAAACCCUUCCUGGGAUAAAACAGUAACCUUUUAUAGUCUGGACCACUAACCUUUCAGCAAAGUUGAAUGCGCAGGAAGGUUUUCUAAUGGUGGCGGACACAAAUCAAACAAUGCUCUAACGGGCACAAUUAUUAUAUUAAUAUAUUCAUGGUAUGGUACUAUGAUCACACAACGACUGUGAAAUUCAGAGUUGAAAAUUAAAUUAUAUUCAUUAAAAUUAUUUAGGACGAAUCAGGUGACUUACAGCUAAAGGCGGGAUUGAUAUAAAAAAGAAAGAAUCUAUGGUCACCCAGCUUUUUAUAAGGAAGGAGCAUAGACAAGAAUCGGAAAUUAUUUUUUUUCUAACAGUGAGUCAUCAGGUGAACCCGUAAUUGUGCUUUUCUUUUACACUUGUAGGCACAGUGAGUACACCUGAAAGAUUUAUGGUCUGUGUGAGUCAUCAGGUGACUCUGUAACCGUCCUUUUCUUCUACACUUGUAGCUACAGUGACUACAACUGAAAGGCUUCUCGUCUGUGUGAGUUCAUCAGGUGUUUCUGUAGAUCUGCUUU